rnacentral:rRNA from 1 species
GUACGCUGGCGGCACGCCUAACACAUGCAAGUCGAACGCAGUAGCAAUACUGAGUGGCAAACGGGUGAGUAUAAUGUGGGAAUCUGCCUUUUGGUUUGGAAUAACACGGGGAAACUUGUGCUAAUACCGAAUAAGCCUUUACGGGGAAAGUUUUAACGCCGAAAGAUGAGCCUGCACUUGAUUAGCUAGUUGGUAAGGUAAAAGCUUACCAAGGCAACGAUCAAUAGCUGUUCUUAGAGGAAGACCAGCCACAUUGGGACUGAGACACGGCCCAGACUCCUACGGGAGGCAGCAGUGGGGAAUCUUGCACAAUGGGGGAAACCCUGAUGCAGCGAUGCCGCGUGAGUGAAGAAGGCCCUUGGGUUGUAAAACUCUUUCGUCGGGGAAGAAAAUGACUGUACCCGAAUAAGAAGGU